GAUGAAGAACGUAGUGAAAUGCGAUACUUGGUGUGAAUUGCAGAAUCCCGUGAACCAUCGAGUCUUUGAACGCAAGUUGCGCCCGAAGCCACUAGGCCGAGGGCACGCCUGCCUGGGCGUCACACGUCGUUGCCCCCCACCAUCUACUCCUUCGGGAUUGCGGGGGGCGGAUGAUGGCCUCCCGUGCGCCUAGCCGCGCGGUUGGCAUAAAUGCCAAGUCCUCGGCGACGCACGCCACGACAAUCGGUGGUUGCGAAACCUCGGUUGCCCGUCGUGUGCGUUCGUCGCGCAUCGAGGGCUCGAAAAAAUGCUCGGCUCCGGCUCGGCUUUCAACGCGACCCCAGGUCAGGCGGGGUUACCCGCUGAAUUUAAGCAUAUCAAUAAGCGGAGGA
rnacentral:misc_RNA from 1 species